rnacentral:rRNA from 1 species
AUUGAACGCUGGCGGAAUGCUUUACACAUGCAAGUCGAACGGCAGCACGGGGCAACCUGGGUGGCGAGUGGCGAACGGGUGAGUAAUAUAUCGGAACGUGCCCAAUCGUGGGGGAGUAACGUAGCGAAAGUUACGCUAAUACCGCAUACGAUCUACGGAUGAAAGCGGGGGAUCGCAAGACCUCGCGCGAAUGGAGCGGCCGAUAUCAGAUUAGGUAGUUGGUGGGGGUAAAGGCUCACCAAGCCAACGAUCUGUAGCUGGUCUGAGAGGACGACCAGCCACACUGGAACUGAGACACGGUCCAGACUCCUACGGGAGGCAGCAGUGGGGAAUUUUGGACAA